rfam:Schistosoma margrebowiei strain Zambia genome assembly, scaffold: SMRZ_contig0002297
UCUCAGCUGACGAGUCCCAAAUGGGACGAAACGCGCGUCCUGAAU